rnacentral:rRNA from 1 species
GACGUAGGGCGCGAGCGUUGUCCGGAAUCAUUGGGCGUAAAGGGCGCGUAGGUGGCGGGACAAGCGUGCGGUGAAAGCUCGGGGCUCAACCCCGAGUCGGCCGUGCGAACUGUUUUGCUGGAGCACUGUAGAGGCAGGCGGAAUUCCGGGUGUAGCGGUGGAAUGCGUAGAGAUCCGGAAGAACACCGGUGGCGAAGGCGGCCUGCUGGGCAGUUGCUGACACUGAGGCGCGACAGCGUGGGGAGCAAACAGG